rnacentral:rRNA from 1 species
GACGAACGCUGGCGGCGUGCCUAACACAUGCAAGUCGAACGGGGUUAUUUCCUUCGGGAGAUAACUUAGUGGCGAACGGGUGAGUAACGCGUGAGGAACCUGCCUUUCAGUGGGGGACAACAGUUGGAAACGACUGCUAAUACCGCAUAAUGUAUUCGGACCGCAUGAUCUGAAUACCAAAGCUUUAUGUGCUGAAAGAUGGCCUCGCGUCUGACUAGCUAGUUGGUGGGGUAACGGCCUACCAAGGCGACGAUCAGUAGCCGGUCUGAGAGGAUGAACGGCCACAUUGGGACUGAGAUACGGCCCAGACUCCUACGGGAGGCAGCAGUGGGGAAUAUUGCACAAUGGGGGAAACCCUGAUGCAGCGAUGCCGCGUGGAGGAAGAAGGUUUUCGGAUUGUAAACUCCUGUCUUAAAGGACGAUAAUGACGGUACUUUAGGAGGAAGCUCCGGCUAACUACGUGCCAGCAGCCGCGGU